GACUUCAUACAUCCUAUAUAAACUCUGGGUUUUGACCGAUGCCUAGCUAAAGUUGCUCCAAGUGUGGCUAUAUUUACAUGCACAUCGUCAUCAACUUUGACAUAAAAAUCUGCAUCCCACAAAGCAACAGCAGUAGCAAAAUAUGUCUUUGUCUUUGCAGACAAUUCAAGGUAUCCCUCAACAUGCUCCAGCCUCAAGAAGUCACCAUGCUUCUUAUCUUCUGCUUCAAUAGCUCUGUCAAGGAUACCACCUGCCGUAGCACUGUGACCUAUUACAAAGCGAAUUAUGAUUCCCUUCUCUUCCUCAAGCUUCUUUCUUUUAUCACCUUGGGGCAUCCAAGUAGCACGAACUGAAUCUCUUCGCUUUCGGCUGCUAAAAGCAGUAUUUAUGCCUACAACCAUUAAAUACUUUCUUUU
rnacentral:misc_RNA from 1 species